UACGGAGGAUCCGAGCGUUAUCCGGAUUUAUUGGGUUUAAAGGGUGCGCAGGCGGGGGAUUAAGUCGGCGGUGAAAUUUUGCAGCUCAACUGUAAAAGUGCCUUCGAAACUGGUUUCCUUGAGUGUAGAUGAAGUAGGCGGAAUUUGUGGUGUAGCGGUGAAAUGCAUAGAUAUCACGAGGAACUCCGAUUGCGCAGGCAGCUUACUAGGCAUAACUGACGCUCAGGCACGAAGGCGUGGGGAUCAAACAGGAUUAGAUACCCGGGUAGU
rnacentral:rRNA from 1 species